AGACCACAGGGAUUGCCUCAGUAACGGCGAGUGAAGCGGCAACAGCUCAAAUUUGAAAUCUGGUCCCCUCUGGGGGCCCGAGUUGUAAUUUGAAGAGGAUGCUUUUGGCGAGGCGCCUUCCGAGUGCCCUGGAACGGGACGCCACAGAGGGUGAGAGCCCCGUAUGGUAGGACGCCGAGCCUCUGUAAAGCUCCUUCGACGAGUCGAGUAGUUUGGGAAUGCUGCUCAAAAUGGGAGGUAAACCCCUUCUAAAGCUAAAUAUUGGCCAGAGACCGAUAGCGCACAAGUAGAGUGAUCGAAAGAUGAAAAGCACUUUGAAAAGAGAGUUAAACAGCACGUGAAAUUGUUGAAAGGGAAGCGCUUGCGACCAGACUUGCGCCCGUCGGAUCAACCGUCCCUCGUGGGCGGCGCACUCCGGCGGGCUCAGGCCAGCAUCAGUUUUCCUGGGGGUAGAAAGGCGGUGGGAAUGUAGCUCUUCGGAGUGUUAUAGCCCGCCGCGUAAUGCCCUCGGGGGGACUGAGGACCGCGCGUAUGCAAGGAUGCUGGCGUAAUGGUCGUCAGCGACCCGUCUUGAAACACGGACCAAGGAGUCGUCCUAAUAUGCGAGUGUACGGGUGUAAAACCCCUGCGCGUAAUGAAAGUGAACGGAGGUGAGAGCUUCGGCGCAUCAUCGACCGAUCCUGAUGUUCUCGGAUGGAUUUGAGUAAGAGCAUAUUGGGCCGGACCCGAAAGAAGGUGAACUAUGCCUGUAUAGGGUGAAGCCAGAGGAAACUCUGGUGGAGGCUCGCAGCGGUUCUGACGUGCAAAUCGAUCGUCAAAUAUGGGCAUGGGGGCGAAAGACUAAUCGAACCUUCUA
rnacentral:sRNA from 1 species